rnacentral:lncRNA from 1 species
CCGGCUCUUCUUGCUUCGUCCCUCGCCCCCUCCCCGCCAAGCUGGUCGCACUGUUGCCGUUUCACUGCGGCUGACGGAAGGCCAAGGAAGAAAGAGGGUAGAGACGCUGUCGCGAGGAUCAGGCUGCCCUCUCCUUUCCCAGGGACCGUGUUGGGGCCUUCUGACCACCCCGCCCCGCAUCCUGCGCCUCGGAGGCCCAACGUAGCCCAAGACACCCAUGGUCUUGAUGCUCUCCGCCUCUGUCCCAGCCACCAAAGUCCCCGCGAUGGAAUGGAGGACGGGGUGGCCUUGGGCAGAGAAGCGCUUCUUGUGCCGGAUGGAAGGAAACCGUAGCUCUGGCUGUGUUCAUCGCGAAAUGUUUUAUGGAUGUGGAGUGGCUUCAGGCAGCCUCCAUGCCUGUCUGGAUGAUGUAAAGAGAUCUUGAGGCAGAAAUGAAAGGUGAAUGACACACCUGCCCUGGACACCUGUGCACCUUCCCAGUUCCAGAUCAGGCAGUACCUAGCUCAACUGAGAAAAACAAGACAAGGGCCUAUGUGUGUCUCAGGAAAGGUUAAAAGCUCAGUGCCAAUGCAAGGGAUUUUUACAAGCAAAAGUCUCAUUAUUAAUGAGGCCAGAAAACCAAAAUGACAAUGAUCUUUGAUGAUCUGUACUGACACGCAGGGGAGGUGAGUUAAUCAGAAACACACAUUUACUGGCACCCCCUUUGUGCCCAGUCCCUGCUCCUCGAAACUGAUGUUUGUAUUUCAGAGUUUAGCUGUCUUUGAGUUUGCUGCAGUGAAAAGAAAUAUCCCAAGUGUGACUGGGAAGAGAAGACCCGGGACAGGCCAGAAACUGGAGUGAGGAAGAAAGAACCACAGAAUAUUAAUGUAAUGAAUAACUUUCAAGUCCUAUCUGGUCCGUGUCCUGGCAAAGUCCCUUGGGGUCUCUCCCCUGCUUUCCGUUCAUCAGGAUGACUGAGCUCAGUAAUUGUAACAAAGGGAGUGUAGUAGGCAAGGGGACAAAACCCAUAGUAUCCCACCCCUGAUUGACUUAUUAACUCAAUGAACACUUAUUGAAUACCUACGAUAUGCCAGAAGCAGUUCCGGGUACUGGAAAUACAUCAGUGAAUAAAACAGCCACUCAUCCUAGUAAA